GGUUACAUACAAGGGGAAGUCAGGUUACAAUGGUUACAUGCAUGGGAAAUCAGGUUACAAUGGUUACAUGCAUUGGAAAUCAGGUUACAAUGGUUACAUGCAUGGGAAAUCAGGUUACAAUGGUGACAUGCAUGGGGAAGUCAGGUUACAAUGGUUACAUGCAUGGGAAAUCAGGUUAUUGGUUACAUGCAUGGGAAAUCAGGUUACAAUGGUUACAUGCAUGGGGAAGUCGGGUUACAAUGGUCACAUGCAUGGGGAAUCGGGUUACAAUGGUUACAUACAAGGGGAAGUCAGGUUACAAUGGUUACAUACAUGGAGAAUGAGGGUUACAAUGGUUACAUACAUGGGGAUUGCUGGUUACAAUGGUUACAUGCAUGGGAAAUCAGGUUACAAUGGUUACAUGCAUGGGAAAUCAGGUUACAAUGGUUACAUGCAUGGGAAAUCAGGUUACAAUGGUUACAUGUAUGGGGAAGUCAGGUUACAAUGGUUACAUACAUGGAGAAUGAGGGUUACAAUGGUUACAUACAUGGGGAUUGCUGGUUACAAUGGUUACAUGCAUGGGAAAUCAGGUUACAAUGGUUACAUACAUAGAGAAUGAGGGUUACAAUGGUUACAUACAUGGGGAUUGCUGGUUACAAUGGUUACAUGAAUGGGAAAUCAGGUUACAAUGGUUACAUACAUGGCAAUGGUUACAUGCAUUGGAAAGGAGGGUUACAAUGGUUACAUGCAUGGGGAUUGAGGGUUAUAUUAUGGUUACAUACAUGGAGAAUGAGGGUUACAAUGGUUACAUACAUUGG